CAGACAGAGAUACUCAUUCAGACAGGCACGGGGAUACGUUUGACCUGAUGCACUGACAAGUGGGGCCCGUGCUUACGUGGAUAAGUUGUGGGUCCAGCUCCGUAUAGCUAAUGAGGGCAUCAGUUCAGAUUAAGGGCCAUGUCGUGUGUGGGAUAUUUCCUCGGUCAUAAACGACGCACUGAGGCAAUUCAGACGAACGACGUCGCACUCCUUCCAAUUCACCUCAAAAACGUCGCACAGGAGCCAUUGACCCCUUUUGUGCAUACAAGAAGAAGCGUAUAGCCCUCCUCGCCCCCCUUGUCUUUGCGCUUGAACAUCAUAUAGCUAUCAGCUGGAUAUACUAUUAACCAUGUUCUUAAGAAUCUCUGCCUUCUCUUGAUGUAGGAGAAGUGGGUUAGCUAAGAUCUACAAUGAUAAUGACACCUGUGGGGACUCACAACCUAUGAAGAUACUUCCUGGUGCCGCUCGUUCUGAAGAAUUAAAGCAAAACAAAUCUCCACCUCCUCUGCAUCUAAGACUUUCAUGUGUUCCUACCAAGAGAGGAUUGAGCUUGUGUCUCGUAUGACUACCGAAACAUAAGGAUGUAUACAUAUAUUUAUACAUGCAGAAUAACAAGGAAGAGUAAUAAGAGGUGGAAACACUUGAGAGCCUAGG
rnacentral:lncRNA from 1 species